UUCCUCGACCACGUGCCAAAUUGCAGGCAAUUUUAGAUUUGGAAGGUGUGUUUAGUAACCAGCAACAAGAUACAGCCCAAGCCAUUACACGUAAAGAUUCUCCCACUAAAGGAACAAUGGGUCAUGUUUUAGUAGAAGCUUUCUUACGG